rnacentral:rRNA from 1 species
UACGUAGGGCGCAAGCGUUGUCCGGAAUCAUUGGGCGUAAAGCGCGUGUAGGCGGUUCGGUAAGUCGGCUGUGAAAGUCCAGGGCUCAACCCUGGGAUGCCGGUCGAUACUGCCGGACUAGAGUUCGGAAGAGGCGAGUGGAAUUCCCGGUGUAGCGGUGAAAUGCGCAGAUAUCGGGAGGAACACCAAUGGCGAAGGCAGCUCGCUGGGACGUUACUGACGCUGAGACGCGAAAGCGUGGGGAGCAAACAGG